rnacentral:ribozyme from 1 species
UUUUUUUUUUUUUUUUUUUUUUUUUUUUUUUUUUUUUUUUUUUUUUUUUUUUUUUUUUUUUCCCGUCGCGAGAAAUCUUGACAAAUGCAGUAA